UUAGCAAUACCGAAGUGAUAGGUGAAGCCAGUUGGACUUCCUGGGUGGAAUGGGGACUUGGAGAACUUUUCUGUCUUACAAGAGGAUUGUAAAAUGCACCAAUCUGCA